ACGUAGGUGGCGAGCGUUGUCCGGAAUUACUGGGCGUAAAGGGCGUGUAGGCGGAUAUUUAAGUCAGAUGUGAAAACCCCGGGCUCAACUUGGGGACUGCAUUUGAUACUGGAUAUCUUGAGGACAGGAGAGGAAAGCGGAAUUCCUAGUGUAGCGGUGAAAUGCGUAGAUAUUAGGAGGAACACCAGUGGCGAAGGCGGCUUUCUGGACUGUAACUGACGCUGAGGCGCGAAAGCGUGGGGAGCGAACGG
rnacentral:rRNA from 1 species